GCCAGCGUGGCCGAGUGGUUAGGGCGCCGGACUUAAAAUCCGUAGGUCACGGGUUCAAGUCCCGCUCUGACC
rnacentral:tRNA from 1 species